rnacentral:rRNA from 1 species
CCUACGGGAGGCUGCAGUGAGGAAUAUUGGUCAAUGGGCGAGAGCCUGAACCAGCCAAGUCGCGUGAGGGAGUACUGCCCUAUGUGUUGUAAACCUCUUUUGUCGGGGAGCAAAAGCCGGACGUGUCCGGCUGAGAGAGUUCCCGAAGAAAAAGCAUCGGCUAACUCCGUGCCAGCAGCCGCGGUAAUACGGAGGAUGCGAGCGUUAUCCGGAUUUAUUGGGUUUAAAGGGUGCGCAGGGGGAUUUUUAAGUCAGCGGUCAAAGCGUGGGGCUCAACCCCAACCCGCCGUUGAAACUGGGGGUCUCGAGUGGGAGAGAGGUAUGCGGAAUGCGUGGUGUAGCGGUGAAAUGCAUAGAUAUCACGCAGAACCCCGAUUGCGAAGGCAGCAUGCCGGUGCACAACUGACGCUGAGGCACGAAAGCGUGGGUAUCGAACAGGAUUAGAUACCCGAGUAGUC